rnacentral:rRNA from 1 species
AUUGAACGCUGGCGGCAGGCCUAACACAUGCAAGUCGAGCGGAUGAUGGGAGCUUGCUCCUUGAUUCAGCGGCGGACGGGUGAGUAAUGCCUAGGAAUCUGCCUGGUAGUGGGGGACAACGUUUCGAAAGGAACGCUAAUACCGCAUACGUCCUACGGGAGAAAGCAGGGGACCUUCGGGCCUUGCGCUAUCAGAUGAGCCUAGGUCGGAUUAGCUUGUUGGUGAGGUAAUGGGUCACCAAGGCGACGAUCCGUAACUGGUCUGAGAGGAUGAUCAGUCACACUGGAACUGAGACACGGUCCAGACUCCUACGGGAGGCAGCAGUGGGGAAUAUUGGACAAUGGGCGAAAGCCUGAUCCAGCCAUGCCGCGUGUGUGAAGAAGGUCUUCGGAUUGUAAAGCACUUUAAGUUGGGAGGAAGGGUUGUAGAUUAAUACUCUGCAAUUUUGACGUUACCGACAGAAUAAGCACCGGCUAACUCUGUGCCAGCAGCCGCGGUAAGAC